UUAAAUUGAAGAGUUUGAUCAUGGCUCAGAUUGAACGCUGGCGGCAGGCCUAACACAUGCAAGUCGAACGGUAACAGGAAGCAGCUUGCUGCUUUGCUGACGAGUGGCGGACGGGUGAGUAAUGUCUGGGAAACUGCCUGAUGGAGGGGGAUAACUACUGGAAACGGUAGCUAAUACCGCAUAACGUCGCAAGACCAAAGAGGGGGACCUUCGGGCCUCUUGCCAUCGGAUGUGCCAGAUGGGAUUAGCUAGUAGGUGGGGUAACGGCUCACCUAGGCGACGAUCCCUAGCUGGUCUGAGAGGAUGACCAGCCACACUGGAACUGAGACACGGUCCAGACUCCUACGGGAGGCAGCAGUGGGGAAUAUUGCACAAUGGGCGCAAGCCUGAUGCAGCCAUGCCGCGUGUAUGAAGAAGGCCUUCGGGUUGUAAAGUACUUUCAGCGGGGAGGAAGGGAGUAAAGUUAAUACCUUUGCUCAUUGACGUUACCCGCAGAAGAAGCACCGGCUAACUCCGUGCCAGCAGCCGCGGUAAUACGGAGGGUGCAAGCGUUAAUCGGAAUUACUGGGCGUAAAGCGCACGCAGGCGGUUUGUUAAGUCAGAUGUGAAAUCCCCGGGCUCAACCUGGGAACUGCAUCUGAUACUGGCAAGCUUGAGUCUCGUAGAGGGGGGUAGAAUUCCAGGUGUAGCGGUGAAAUGCGUAGAGAUCUGGAGGAAUACCGGUGGCGAAGGCGGCCCCCUGGACGAAGACUGACGCUCAGGUGCGAAAGCGUGGGGAGCAAACAGGAUUAGAUACCCUGGUAGUCCACGCCGUAAACGAUGUCGACUUGGAGGUUGUGCCCUUGAGGCGUGGCUUCCGGAGCUAACGCGUUAAGUCGACCGCCUGGGGAGUACGGCCGCAAGGUUAAAACUCAAAUGAAUUGACGGGGGCCCGCACAAGCGGUGGAGCAUGUGGUUUAAUUCGAUGCAACGCGAAGAACCUUACCUGGUCUUGACAUCCACGGAAGUUUUCAGAGAUGAGAAUGUGCCUUCGGGAACCGUGAGACAGGUGCUGCAUGGCUGUCGUCAGCUCGUGUUGUGAAAUGUUGGGUUAAGUCCCGCAACGAGCGCAACCCUUAUCCUUUGUUGCCAGCGGUCCGGCCGGGAACUCAAAGGAGACUGCCAGUGAUAAACUGGAGGAAGGUGGGGAUGACGUCAAGUCAUCAUGGCCCUUACGACCAGGGCUACACACGUGCUACAAUGGCGCAUACAAAGAGAAGCGACCUCGCGAGAGCAAGCGGACCUCAUAAAGUGCGUCGUAGUCCGGAUUGGAGUCUGCAACUCGACUCCAUGAAGUCGGAAUCGCUAGUAAUCGUGGAUCAGAAUGCCACGGUGAAUACGUUCCCGGGCCUUGUACACACCGCCCGUCACACCAUGGGAGUGGGUUGCAAAAGAAGUAGGUAGCUUAACCUUCGGGAGGGCGCUUACCACUUUGUGAUUCAUGACUGGGGUGAAGUCGUAACAAGGUAACCGUAGGGGAACCUGCGGUUGGAUCACCUCCUUACCUUAAAGAAGC
rnacentral:rRNA from 1 species